rnacentral:rRNA from 1 species
AUUGAACGCUGGCGGAAUGCUUUACACAUGCGAGUCGAACGGCAGCACGGACUUCGGUCUGGUGGCGAGUGGCGAACGGGUGAGUAAUGUAUCGGAACGUGCCCAGUCGUGGGGGAUAACGUAGUGAAAAUUACGCUAAUACCGCAUACGAUCUAUGGAUGAAAGCGGGGGAUCGCAAGACCUCGCGCGAUUGGAGCGGCCGAUAUCAGAUUAGGUAGGUGGUGGGGUAAAGGCCCACCAAGCCAACGAUCUGUAGCUGGUCUGAGAGGACGACCAGCCACACUGGAACUGAGACACGGUCCAGACUCCUACGGGAGGCAGCAGUGGGGAAUUUUGGACAAUGGGCGAAAGCCUGAUCCAGCCAUUCCGCGUGCAGGAUGAAGGCCCUCGGGUUGUAAACUGCUUUUGUACAGAACGAAAAGGUUUCUACUAAUACUAGGAGCUCAUGACGGUACUGUAAGAAUAAGCACCGGCUAACUACGUGCCAGCAGCCGCGGUAA